ensembl:lncRNA
CUUUUAUUUUACAAAUCGAUAUUAUGAAUGUUGCUCUAUGAAUAUGGAUUUUGAUUGUUACUAUUUUAAAAUGUUAUAGGGUAUGCUACUAUUCUGAAAGAAACCAAUCCAUAUUCAAAAUAAAGAGUGUAUGUGCUAUUUUAGUCUUUUUCACUAUCCUUGCUAUCCUCUGUCCAUUUAACUUCACUAGUUCCACAACAACAAAUCAGUCUGACUCAGUGGAACAACAAGUCGAGAAAACAUCACAAAUUAAAUGUAUGAUGUCCUAAAUUAUAAAUCCAGAAUUUAAAUAAUGCAGUGUGGUCAAGAGUUUGGGGGUCACAGAAAAUUUAUAGUGUCAAUUUGAGUUUCUUUUAGCCAAAAUGUUUGGGAAACUCUCAGCUAAAUGUUAAAUGAGUCAACCUUAUAUAAUCCACAAAAUAGCCAAUUAGCAUGUUGUUAUUAGUUAGCCACACAACGGUAUGCUGUUCUCUAUGUUAGGAACAUUUAUUUGUAUUUAUUUGUAGUAUUUACUAUAAACGAUACUUUAUUUGCUAUGCACUGAAGACAUUUGGGUUUGAGAUGAAUGAAAGAUGACAGAUCAGAAUUUCAGUUUUAAUUUCCUGAUAUUUAUAUCUAGAUGUGUUAAACAACUAGAAGCAUGGUAAUUUUGUUUGAACCCACCCAUUUUUCAAGUGAUUUCAAGUGAUCAAAUAUAUUGGAACACGUGACUGGGAGGUGUUUCUUCUUGCCCAGGUCUUUCCUAUUAAAUUGAUUGGUUAGACAGUUAAUAGCUCUGAAUGUGUUACUCUUGGUUUGGGCCCUGGGUUUCGCCUGUGAACACUGCAUUUGUUGUUAAAAAGGAUAAACCAACACGAAGACCUGAGAGCCGUCUAUGGGAGAAAAGCGAGCCAUUUUGAAGUUGAGAUGAAAGGGAAAAUUUAUCAGAGCCAUUGCACAAGCAUUGGGCAUAGCCAGUACAACAAUUUGGAAUGUCCUGAAAAAGAAAGAAACCACUGGUGUACUGAGCAACCAGACAUGGAGCAGGUCAGCCAAGGAAAACAACAGCAGCUGAUGAAAGAAACAUUGUGUAGUCAUGAAGUAAAACCCAAAAACAACAGUGAGUGACACCUCCACAGGGCAGGGGUGAACGUAUCACAAUCCACCAUUCGAAGAAGACUUCAAGUGCAGAAAUAUUGAGUUCAUACCACAAGAUGCAAACCACUCAUCAGCAGUAAGAAUCAGAAAGCCAGAUUGGAAUUUGUAAAGAAAUACCGAGAUGAUCCACAAAAGUUCUUUAAUUGAGAUGAACCUCUGCCAAAGUGAUGGAAAGGCCAAAUUGUGGAGAAAGAAAGUAUCUGCUCAUGAUUCAAAACACACAAAUUCAUCUGUCAAGCACAGGGGAGGUAGUGUCAUGGCUUGGGCUUGCAUGGCUGCUUCUGGUACACGCUCAUUAUCUUUAUGCAUUUCUCUGUAAAUCUGCCAAUUUACAGAGAAAUGCAUCAAAUCUAAUUGGGAGGAACUUCAUCAAUAAAGGUUCAUCUUAUCUAAUCUAAUCUUAUCUUAUCUUAUCGUGCAGCAAUGACUCAAAACACACUGGCAACUCAACAAAGGACUUCAUCAGGGAAAAAAGUUGAAGGUUUUAGUAUGGCCAAGUCAAUCACCAGACCUUAACCCAGUUGAGAGAAUUUCACCUCCUGAAGAGGAGACUGAAGGGAGAACCCCUGCAAAACAAACAACAACUAAUGAAGCUCAGGGCUCUAGCGGACAUCCUCAGGCAGCAGAGUUCUGUCCCUGCCUCACAUUAUGAGCAGGAGAACAUGGCUACUAUUGAUGGUUCACCGAAAGACAGCACACCUAUACGCAGCAACAAGAACCACUACACACCUGUACACAACAAAAACAACCAUGCUGAUUUUGUCUUCAGGGAAGCAGAGGGCUGCUGAGUGUCCUGCUGCAAUGUCCCAAUUUCUACUGUCCUGUGUCACAGCCCCACUUUAAAC